rnacentral:rRNA from 1 species
GAUGAACGCUGGCGGCGUGCCUAAUACAUGCAAGUCGAGCGAACGGACGAGAAGCUUGCUUCUCUGAUGUUAGCGGCGGACGGGUGAGUAACACGUGGAUAACCUACCUAUAAGACUGGGAUAACUUCGGGAAACCGGAGCUAAUACCGGAUGAUAUUUUGAACCGCAUGGUUCAAAAGUGAAAGACGGUCUUGCUGUCACUUAUAGAUGGAUCCGCGCUGCAUUAGCUAGUUGGUAAGGUAACGGCUUACCAAGGCAACGAUGCAUAGCCGACCUGAGAGGGGGAUCGCCCCACAGAGAAAUAGAAACGGGGCAAGCCCCCGAGGGGGGGAAGAAGAAGGAAUCCUCCCGCAAGGGCGGAAAGCCGGACGGACAACCGCGGGGGGGUGAAUAAAGUUUUUGGAAUCAAAAAACUUUUUUAUGAGGGAAAAAAAUAUGGGAAAGUAACUGUGCACAUCUUGAGGAACCCUAAUAAGAAGACCAGGACUACCUAGGGC